rnacentral:lncRNA from 1 species
UCUGGUAUCCAUGAGUAAUCUGCUUGAUAUUCCAUGCGAAUCUAAGAUUGACAUAUCAAAAAUAUGCCUGAUAUAUUUAAAAAUAUACAUAUUUAUUAAUCAUAUAAAAAAAUAUAAUAAUAAAUUAUUAAUAUAUUUAUUGAUUGAUAAUUAUUAACAUAUUUUACUAAAAUAUAUGUAUUAAUCUACAAAUUAUUAAUCACAUAAAUUAUAAUAAUUGUUAUUAUAGAAUUAAUAUUUUUAUUUAUACUUAUAUUAUUGUUGUAAUGCUGAUAUUUAUUUUGAUUAGC